rnacentral:rRNA from 1 species
GAUGAACGCUGGCGGCGUGCCUAAUACAUACAAGUCGAGCGAAGCGGGUACUGGUGAGUCACACGUGGAUAACCUCCUAUAAGACUGGGCUAACUUCGGGAAACCGGAGCUAAACCGGAUACUUCUCCAUGGAUCUUCGCUGCAUUAGCUAGUUGGUAAGGUAACGGAUUACAAAGGCAACGAUGCAUCGCCGACCUGAGAGGGUGAUCGGCCAAACGGGAACUGAGACACGGUCCAGACGCCUACGGGAGGCAGCAGUAGGGAAUCUUGCGAAAUGGGCGAAAGCCUGACGGAGCAACGCCGCGUGAGUGAUGAAGGUCUUCGGAUCGUAAAACGCUGUUAUGAGGGAAGCGGUACCUAAUCAGAAAGCCACGGCUAACUACGUGCCAGCAGCCGCGGUAAUAC